rnacentral:rRNA from 1 species
UGGGGAAUAUUGCACAAUGGACGGAAGUCUGAUGCAGCAACGCCGCGUGCGGGAUGACGGCCUUCGGGUUGUAAACCGCUUUUUCUCAUGACGAAGUUUUUUGACGGUAGUGGGGGAAGAAGCACCGGCUAACUACGUGCCAGCAGCCGCGGUGAUACGUAGGGUGCGAGCGUUGUCCGGAAUUAUUGGGCGUAAAGAGCUUGUAGGCGGUUUGUCGCGUCGAUAGUGCAAACUCAGUGCUUAACGCUGAGCCUGCUGUUGAUACGGGCAGACUAGAGGAAGGUAGGGGAGAAUGGAAAUCCCGGUGGAGCGGUGGAAUGCGCAGAUAUCGAGGGGAAAACCGGUGGCGAAGGCGGUUCUCUGGGCCUUUCCUGACGCUGAGAAGCGAAAGCGUGGGGAGCGAACAGG